AAUCCCCUUUGAUUUCUACAGUAAACAUAGAAAAGCUAUAAUAAUAAGAUUCACUUGAACAACUAGAAUUUCUUCCCAGAUCCUCUUACCAAGACGUCUGUGAGCUUCAGCCACAGUAAUAAUGGGGAAGAACCUGCAAAUUUCAUUGGCUGUUCUGUGGCUUCAGCUCAGCUGUGUAAGUGGCAAAAAUGAAGUGGAGCAAAGUCCUCAGUACUUGAGUGCCCAGGAAGGAGAAUUAAUCACCAUCAACUGCAGCUACUCCACAGGAAUGACCACCUUACACUGGUUGCAACAGAAUCCUGGAAGAGGCACAGUCUCCUUGUUUGUACUGAGCUUACAGAUGAAGAAGAACAGAAGAAUGAGUGCCACAAUAAACACAAAGGAAAGUCAAAGCUCCCUGCACAUCGAAGCGUCCCAGCCCAGAGACUCUGCCACCUACCUCUGUGCUACCUUCUCCGAUUCCUACAGCAAGAUCACCAAUUAUGUUAACCAGGACAAUGUGUGA